UCUCGUCCUCUGUCGUCCCCUUCUCCUUGUGCCCUCCAUCUUUCCCAACAUCAGGGUCUUUUCCAGGGAGUCUUCUCUUCUCAUGAGGUGGCCAAAGUAUUGGAGCCUCAGCUUCACAAUCUGCCCUUCCAGUGAGCACUCAGCGCUGAUUUCCUUAAGAAUGGAGAGGUCUGAUCUUCUUGCAGUCCAUGGGACUCUCAAGAGUCUCCUCCA